rnacentral:rRNA from 1 species
GGCGAACGGGUGCGUAACACGUGAGGAAUCUGUCCUUCGGCGGGGGAUAACCGGCCCAACGGCCGGGUAAUACCGCGUACGUCGGUCGCGUCGCAUGGCGUGACCGGGAAAGCAGCAAUGCACCGAAGGAGGACCUCGCGGCCUAUCAGCUUGUUGGCGGGGUAAUGGCCCACCAAGGCGACGACGGGUAGCUGGUCUGAGAGGAUGAUCAGCCACAUUGGGACUGAGACACGGCCCAG